rnacentral:tmRNA from 1 species
AUGGUUGUUUGUCAACCAUAUAGUGCUUAUCUUGGUCUCGCUGGCUUGCCAGCUAUGUCGGUAGAUGAUCGAGUGGAAUAGGCAUUGCGGACCCGGGGGGCAGUACCCCGGCACCUCCACCACCAGCCGCGAAUACCGCAGUUUUACGCGGUUGCUGAUGGGGGUGAAACAGGAUCGACGCGUGUAAUAAAGGCUCGGUUGCCGAUCGGUAUGAGACCACCGUGACGGCUCAUAUUCACAAGUGCCAACGAUAACGAGGCGCUCGCUAUUGCUGCGUAACGAUUAGCCUAACGGCGAAAGUUACAAAGUCUUAAGCGCGGUCGGACCCCACCGGGCAACAGAAGGGGAUUCCAGCGGUUCGGAGGGUACCGGGCAACAGAAACCCUCCACU